GAUGAACGCUAGCGAUAGGCCUAACACAUGCAAGUCGAGGGGCAUCACAUGAAGUAGCAAUACGGAUGGUGGCGACCGGCGCACGGGUGAGUAACACGUAUGCAACCUGCCUUCAACAAGGGGAUAACCCGUUGAAAGACGGACUAAUACCCUAUAACACAGGGGUCCCGCAUGGGAAUAUUUGUUAAAGGACAACCGGUUGAAGAUGGGCAUGCGUUCCAUUAGCUAGUUGGCGGGUAACGGCCCACCAAGGCAACGAUGGAUAGGGGAACUGAGAGGUUUAUCCCCCACACUGGUACUGAGACACGGACCAGACUCCUACGGGAGGCAGCAGUGAGGAAUAUUGGUCAAUGGACGCAAGUCUGAACCAGCCACGUCGCGUGAAGGAAGACGGCCCUACGGGUUGUAAACUUCUUUUAUACGGGAAUAAAGUGCCCCACGCGUGGGGUUUUGCAUGUACCGUAUGAAUAAGGAUCGGCUAACUCCGUGCCAGCAGCCGCGGUAAUACUGACUCA
rnacentral:rRNA from 1 species